rnacentral:rRNA from 1 species
CCGAACCGACUAAUGUUGAAAAAUUAGCGGAUGACCUGUGGCUGGGGGUGAAAGGCCAAUCAAACCGGGAGAUAGCUGGUUCUCCCCGAAAGCUAUUUAGGUAGCGCCUCGUGAAUUCAUCUCCGGGGGUAGAGCACUGUUUCGGCUAGGGGGCCAUCCCGGCUUACCAACCCGAUGCAAACUGCGAAUACCGGAGAAUGUUAUCACGGGAGACACACGGCGGGUGCUAACGUCCGUCGUGAAGAGGGAAACAACCCAGACCGCCAGCUAAGGUCCCAAAGUCAUGGUUAAGUGGGAAACGAUGUGGGAAGGCCCAGACAGCCAGGAUGUUGGCUUAGAAGCAGCCAUCAUUUAAAGAAAGCGUAAUAGCUCACUGGUCGAGUCGGCCUGCGCGGAAGAUGUAACGGGGCUAAACCAUGCACCGAAGCUGCGGCAGCGACACUGUGUGUUGUUGGGUAGGGGAGCGUUCUGUAAGCCUGU